AGAGUUUGAUCCUGGCUCAGGACGAACGCUGGCGGCGUGCUUAACACAUGCAAGUCGAGCGGAAAGGCCCUUCGGGGUACUCGAGCGGCGAACGGGUGAGUAACACGUGAGUAAUCUGCCCCUAGCUCUGGGAUAGCUCCGGGAAACCGGGAUUAAUACCGGAUACGACUCCUUCGGACAUCUGAAGGAGUGGAAAGAUUUAUCGGCUAGGGAUGAGCUCGCGGCCUAUCAGCUUGUUGGUGGGGUAACGGCCUACCAAGGCGACGACGGGUAGCCGGCCUGAGAGGGCGACCGGCCACACUGGGACUGAGACACGGCCCAGACUCCUACGGGAGGCAGCAGUGGGGAAUAUUGCGCAAUGGGCGAAAGCCUGACGCAGCGACGCCGCGUGGGGGAUGAAGGCCUUCGGGUUGUAAACCCCUUUCAGCAGGGACGAAGCGAAAGUGACGGUACCUGCAGAAGAAGCGCCGGCUAACUACGUGCCAGCAGCCGCGGUAACACGUAGGGCGCAAGCGUUGUCCGGAAUUAUUGGGCGUAAAGAGCUCGUAGGCGGUCUGUUGCGUCCGCUGUGAAAACUCGGGGCUUAACCCCGAGCCUGCAGUGGAUACGGGCAGACUAGAGGUAGGUAGGGGAGAAUGGAAUUCCCGGUGUAGCGGUGAAAUGCGCAGAUAUCGGGAGGAACACCGGUGGCGAAGGCGGUUCUCUGGGCCUUACCUGACGCUGAGGAGCGAAAGCGUGGGGAGCGAACAGGAUUAGAUACCCUGGUAGUCCACGCCGUAAACGUUGGGCGCUAGGUGUGGGACCCUUCCACGGGUUCCGUGCC
rnacentral:rRNA from 1 species